rnacentral:rRNA from 1 species
UCCUGGCUCAGAACGAACGCUGGCGGCAUGGAUUAGGCAUGCAAGUCGAACGAAGCAGCAAUGCUUAGUGGCGCAAGGGUGAGGAACACGUGAGUGACUUACCCGCAAGUUUGGAACAGCUCCUGAAACGGGAAUUAAUACCGGAUGUGAUCAUAGGUCUGCAUGGAUUUAUGAUUAAAGCAGCAAUGCGCUUGCGGAUGGGCUCGCGUCCCAUUAGCUAGUUGGUGAGGUAACGGCCCACCAAGGCGAUGAUGGGUAGCUGGUCUGAGAGGACGACCAGCCACACUGGGACUGAGAACUGCCCAGACUCCUACGGGAGGCUGCAGUCGAGAAUUUUGGGCAAUGGACGAAAGUCUGAACCCCCAGCAAUGCCGCGUGCGGGAUGAAGGUCUUCGGAUUGUAAACCGCUGUUUGGAGGGACGAAACAUGACGGUACCUCCAGAGAAAGCCACGGCUAACUACGUGCCAGCCGCCGC